rnacentral:rRNA from 1 species
UGGGGAAUAUUGCACAAUGGGCGAAAGCCUGAUGCAGCGACGCCGCGUGCGGGAUGAAGGCCUUCGGGUUGUAAACCGCUUUUGAUUGGGAGCAAGCGAGAGUGAGUGUACCUUUCGAAUAAGCACCGGCUAACUACGUGCCAGCAGCCGCGGUAAUACGUAGGGUGCAAGCGUUAUCCGGAAUUAUUGGGCGUAAAGAGCUCGUAGGCGGUUUGUCGCGUCUGGUGUGAAAGUCCAUCGCUUAACGGUGGAUCUGCGCCGGGUACGGGCAGGCUAGAGUGCGACAGGGGAGACUGGAAUUCCCGGUGUAACGGUGGAAUGUGUAGAUAUCGGGAAGAACACCAAUGGCGAAGGCAGGUCUCUGGGUCGUCACUGACGCUGAGGAGCGAAAGCGUGGGGAGCGAACAGGAUUAGAUACCCUGGUAGUCCACGCCGUAAACGGUGGAUGCUGGAUGUGGGGCCCAUUCCACGGGUUCCGUGUCGGAGCUAACGCGUUAAGCAUCCGCCUGGGGAGUACGGCCGCAAG